rnacentral:rRNA from 1 species
GACGAACGCUGGCGGAGUGCUUAACACAUGCAAGUCGAACGAUGAACUUGGAGCUUGCUCUGGGGGAUUAGUGGCGAACGGGUGAGUAACACGUGAGUAACCUGCCCUGGACUCUGAGAUAACUUCGAGAAAUCGGAGCUAAUACCGGAUAGGACCUUGCACCGCAUGGUGUGGGGUGGAAAGUUUUUCGGUUUGGGAUGGACUCGCGGCCUAUCAGCUUGUUGGUGAGGUAAUGGCUCACCAAGGCGUCGACGGGUAGCCGGCCUGAGAGGGUGACCGGCCACACUGGGACUGAGACACGGCCCAGACUCCUACGGGAGGCAGCAGUGGGGAAUAUUGCACAAUGGGCGCAAGCCUGAUGCAGCAACGCCGCGUGCGGGAUGACGGCCUUCGGGUUGUAAACCGCUUUUAGUAGGGAAGAAGCCUUCGGGUGACGGUACCUGCAGAAAAAGGACCGGCUAACUACGUGCCUGCCGCCGCGGUAAAAC